rnacentral:rRNA from 1 species
ACGUCAAAUCAUCAUGCCCCUUAUGUCCUGGGCUACACACGUACUACAAUGGCUAUAACAGCAGGGAGCUAAGGCGUAAGCCGGAGCGAAUCCUCAAAAAUAGUCCCAGUUCGGAUUGUGGGCUGCAACCCGCCCACAUGAAGUCGGAAUUGCUAGUAAUGGCAGGUCAGCAUACUGCCGUGAAUACGUUCCCGGGCCUU